rnacentral:rRNA from 1 species
GGACGGGUGAGUAACGCGUGGGUAACCUGCCUUGUACUGGGGGACAACAGUUGGAAACGACUGCUAAUACCGCAUAAGCGCACAGCUUCGCAUGAAGCGGUGUGAAAAACUCCGGUGGUACAAGAUGGACCCGCGUCUGAUUAGCUGGUUGGUGAGGUAACGGCCCACCAAGGCGACGAUCAGUAGCCGACCUGAGAGGGUGACCGGCCACAUUGGGACUGAGACACGGCCCAGACUCC